UAAGGCGAAGAGCCGGAGCCGUAGCGAAAGCGAGUCCGAAUUGGGCAUUGAGUUGCGCUGAAUAGACCCGAAGCGAAGUGAUCUACCCAUGGCCAAGGCGAAUCCGCCGUAACAGGCGGAGGAGGCCUGAACUGAUGUUAGUUGCAAAUGGCUCGGAUGAGCUGUGGGUAGGGGUGAAAGGCUAAUCAAACUUCGUGAUUGCUGGUUCUCCCCGAAAUAACUAGAGGGUUAGCCUCGUCUCAGCCGUGACGGAGGUAGAGCACUGAAUGAGCUAGGGGCGUUCCAACGCUACCGAACUCAAUCAAACUCCGAAUGCCGUUACUGGACGAACGGGAGUUAGACUACGAGUGCUAAGAUCCGUGGUCAAAAGGGAAAUAGCCCAGACCGUCAGCUAAGGUCCCUAAUCGUGAGCUAAGUGGAAAAGGUUGUAAGA
rnacentral:rRNA from 1 species